GCACUGUCAUCACAGGGGGGAAUCAUAACCAGAACAUCUCCAACAUGAAUGCUCUGUGCUCUCCCCUUCCCCGGAUACACUUUGCAGACUGAGACCCACUAUUGUUCCAGGGCUCCCUUUGCUGCAGCCCUGCAGGUAUCUCAGCUCCUCCUUCUUUGCUCACAAGUACAAAAGACACCGACUCAAACCUUUCAGUGCUGUCAUUUCAGGAAACAACUCCACAACAACAACAAAUGGUUUUUGAAGGAAGGCAAGAGAUCCCACAGCUUCCAGGUGUUCACCCAAGUGAAGCUCAGCACAGUUUCUUUGUUGAUGCUGGAAGAAGAGCUUGGCGUGCCUGUAGCCCCACUGGCCCCUGCCUUGGAGUUGGUGUUGUGUUGGUUGGACCCCGAGGAGAAUCGAGCAGUGGUUGGGAAGGGCUCGUGCUGACAGGCUGUGCUGCAGCCAGCCAGGUUUGUGGCUGGCAUAGGUACAUCCAUGGUCGAGAAGUGGAACUAUCUCUGGGGAGGAUUGACCAGUAGAAAUGGAGGAAGGAGGCUUCAGCUGUUCUCUGACCAUGGGAUCCAUUGAGCGCACGGAGGAUGAAGACACAGAGGAGGGCUGAUGGCCACUGCUGGGAGAAGGUCUUGCCUUGCAAAGCCAGCUCUGUAUGGAAGAAAGCAGUGGGACGAGAGAGGAACCCCCCAGAACACACAGCAUCGCAAUCCCUGCUUAUUUACAGCUCUACAAGGAGUUUCCACUGGAUUCCUCACCCAUGUACAGAAAAGAGGGGUAAAUUCCUCCUCAUGAAGUAUUUAUUAUUUUAGGUUGUGGUCACUACAAACUCUUUACCCAUAUUUUUUAAUGAGUUUUGACACUCCAGAGUUGCAGUUCUGUAUUUUUCCCCUUGCACUGUGCUGGCUUUUCCUGUAACUUGGGCUACAUGUGAUUUAUUUAAUCUCUCUCCACAGAGAGCAGAGAAUUAGAUUAAAGAGACAAAUUAAUAAA